rnacentral:lncRNA from 1 species
ACAAAACGACAGGCAGCGUGUCGGAGGGGAGGUUUCAGACAGAGGAGCAUGACUGCUGUACGGAGAGAAUACGCAGGAAAACAGAGAACGAUGGACAUGUGACGGACGUGGUUGGAUUAAGCAGCCUUUAUGCUGGGUUAGCGCUCAGCUGAUGGAGCCUGUGAAGAAGUUUCCCUGUGGGGAUGGGUGUAUUAACCGGGGAAUGAGUGGUUGGUUGUGAGGGUGCUGACACCGCUGGGAAUAAACAGCUUCAUUCCACACUCUUGCCCCAUCAGCUCCCGCACCUCGUCCCACUGCUGUAAUCCAAUCAACAACUUGCAAGACGGAUAAUGCAGCCAGCUUCGCCCUGACAUAAGUGAAUACAGACGGCUCACACCAGGGGUAG